rnacentral:rRNA from 1 species
AGUGAACGCUGGCGGUAGGCCUAACACAUGCAAGUCGAACGGCAGCACAGUAAGAGCUUGCUCUUACGGGUGGCGAGUGGCGGACGGGUGAGGAAUACAUCGGAAUCUACUUUUUCGUGGGGGAUAACGUAGGGAAACUUACGCUAAUACCGCAUACGACCUACGGGUGAAAGCAGGGGAUCUUCGGACCUUGCGCGAUUGAAUGAGCCGAUGUCGGAUUAGCUAGUCGGCGGGGUAAAGGCCCACCAAGGCGACGAUCCGUAGCUGGUCUGAGAGGAUGAUCAGCCACACUGAAACUGAGACACGGUCCAGACUCCUACGGGAGGCAGCAGUGGGGAAUAUUGGACAAUGGGCGCAAGCCUGAUCCAGCCAUACCGCGUGGGUGAAGAAGGCCUUCGGGUUGUAAAGCCCUUUUGUUGGGAAAGAAAAGCAGCAGGUUAAUACCCCGCUGUUCUGACGGUACCCAAAGAAUAAGCACCGGCUAACUUCGUG